UACGGGGGGAGCAAGCGGUGUUCGGAUUUACUGGGCGUAAAGGGCGCGUAGGCGGUCGUGACAAGUCACUUGUGAAAUCUCCGGGCUUAACUCGGAACGGUCAAGUGAUACUGUCGGACUAGAGUACAGAAGGGGCAACUGGAAUUCUCGGUGUAGCGGUGAAAUGCGUAGAUAUCGAGAGGAACACCUGCGGCGAAGGCGGGUUGCUGGGCUGAUACUGACGCUGAGGCGCGAAAGCCAGGGGAGCGAACAGG
rnacentral:rRNA from 1 species